rnacentral:tRNA from 1 species
AAAGAGUUAGUUAAAUUUAACCUCAGUAUGUCAUGCUGAAAUUAUUAGUAUUAAUCUAAUACUCUUUA